rnacentral:rRNA from 1 species
GACGAACGCUGGCGGCGUGCUUAACACAUGCAAGUCGAACGGAAAGGCCCUGCUUUUGUGGGGUGCUCGAGUGGCGAACGGGUGAGUAACACGUGAGUAACCUGCCCUUGACUUUGGGAUAACUUCAGGAAACUGGGGCUAAUACCGGAUAGGAGCUCCUGCUGCAUGGUGGGGGUUGGAAAGUUUCGGCGGUUGGGGAUGGACUCGCGGCUUAUCAGCUUGUUGGUGGGGUAGAGGCUUACCAAGGCUUUGACGGGUAGCCGGCCUGAGAGGGUGACCGGCCACAUUGGGACUGAGAUACGGCCCAGACUCCUACGGGAGGCAGCAGUGGGGAAUAUUGCACAAUGGGCGGAAGCCUGAUGCAGCAACGCCGCGUGCGGGAUGACGGCCUUCGGGUUGUAAACCGCUUUCGCCUGUGACGAAGCGUGAGUGACGGUAAUGGGUAAAGAAGCACCAGCUAACUACGUG